rnacentral:rRNA from 1 species
CCUGCCAGUAGUCAUAUGCUUGUCUUAAAGAUUAAGCCAUGCAUGUCUAAGUAUAAGCGUUAUACAGCGAGACUGCGGAUGGCUCAUUAAACCAGUUAUAGUUUAUUUGAUAAUAACUCUACUUGGAUAACUGUAGAAAAGCUAGAGCUAAUACAUGCUAAAGUACCUAACUUAUCGGAAAGGUAGUAUUUGCUAGAAAUAAAGCCAAUGCGGGGGCAACUUCGGUCUAGGUGAAUCAUAGUAACUUCUCGAAUCGCACGGUCUUGCACCAGCGAUGUUUCAUUCAAAUUUCUGACCUAUCAACUUUCGACGGUAGAGUAUUGGUCUACCAUGGUGAUCACGGGUGACGGAGGAUUAGGGUUUGGUUCCGGAGAGGGCGCCUGAGAGAUGGCGACCACUUCCAAGGAAGGCAGCAGGCGCGUAAAUUACCCAAUCCUAAUACAGGGAGGUAGUGACAAGAAAUAACAAUACAGGUCCCGACAAGGGACUUGUAAUUGGAAUGAGUGCAAUUUAAAUCUCUCAAUGAGGAACAAUUGGAGGGCAAGUCUGGUGCCAGCAGCCGCGGUAAUUCCAGCUCCAAUAGCGUAUAUUAAAGUUGUUGCAGUUAAAAGCUCGUAGUUGGAAUCUGGAGUGGGCAGGUUUGGUCUUCCAUAACGGUUGAAUCGGCUUGUCUGCUCUUCCAUGUGAGUGCUGUCCACUGCCCUUAAAUGGGUGGAGGCUUCAGCUUCACAUCGUUUACUUUGAAGAAAUUAGAGUGUUUAAAGCAGGCAUGUUUCGUCUUGAAUAUAUUAGCAUGGGAUAAUGGAAUAGGACCUCCUCCUGUUUCGUUGGUUUACAGUGGGGAGGUAAUGAUUAAUAGGGAUAGUUGGGGUAGUUUAUAUUUUGUCGCUAGAGGUGAAAUUCUUGGAUUGUUGAAAGAUAAACGAGUGCGAAAGCUUUCUACAAGGAUGUUUUCAUUAAUCAAGAACGAAAGUUAGGGGAUCGAAGACGAUCAGAUACCGUCGUAGUCUUAACCAUAAACUAUGCCGACCAAGGAU